rnacentral:tRNA from 2 species
GGGGAUGUAGCUCAGUUGGGAGAGCGCCACGUUCGCAACGUGGAAGUCGGGGGUUCGAGUCCCCCCAUCUCCACCA